GGACUUAAUGAAUUUAGAUUGAACCAUAGGCGAAAGCCAGUGGUUCUUCUUUCAUAUCCAUAACACCUGUGCACUGUUGGAUGCUUGCAUCCACUUUUAAACUAAACAUUAUUGUAACAAAUGUAGUCUUAUUAUAACAUAAUAAAACUUUCAACAACGGAUCUCUUGGCUCUCGCAUCGAUGAAGAACGCAGCGAAAUGCGAUAAGUAAUGUGAAUUGCAGAAUUCAGUGAAUCAUCGAAUCUUUGAACGCACCUUGCGCUCCUUGGUAUUCCGAGGAGCAUGCCUGUUUGAGUGUCAUGAAACCCUCAAACCCAAGUUUUGGAUUUCGAUCCAUGCUUGAGUUUGGAUUUGGAUGUUUGCCGGUGAUGAACCGACUCAUCUUAAAAGUAUUAGCUUGGAUCUGUCUAUAUGACUGGUUUGACUUGGCAUAAUAAGUAUUUUGCUGAGGACAUCUUCGGAUGGCCAGGACCUAGACUACUGUCUGCUAACUAAACCAUCACUUUAAGUGCAUCUUUGGAUGUUACUCAUUGUGUAACUUUGACAUCUGGCCUCAAAUCAAGUAGGACUACCCGCUGAACUUAAGCAUAUCAAUAAGCGGAGGAAAAGAAACUAACAAGGAUUCCCCUAGUAACGGCGAGUGAAGCGGGAAGAGCUCAAAUUUGAAAUCUGGUGGCCUCAGGUCAUCCGAGUUGUAAUCUAUAGAAGUGUUUUCCGUGCUGGCUCAUGUACAAGUCCCUUGGAACAGGGCGUCAUAGAGGGUGAGAAUCCCUCCUUGACAUGAACUACCAGUGCUCUGUGAUACAUUUUCAACGAGUCGAGUUGUUUGGGAAUGCAGCUCAAAAUGGGUGGGGUAAAUUCCAUCUAAAGCUAAAUAUUGGCGAGAGACCGAUAGCGAACAAGUACCGUGAGGGAAAGAUGAAAAGCACUUUGGAAAGAGAGUUAAACAGUAUGUGAAAUUGUUGAAAGGGAAACGAUUGAAGUCAGUCGUGCUCUUUGGAUUCAGCCGGUUCUGCCGGUGUACUUCCUUUGAGUGGGGUCAACAUCAGUUUUGAUCGCUGGAUAAAGGCUGGAGGAACGUAGUACCCUCGGGUAAACUUAUAGCCUCCUGUCACAUACAGUGGUUGGGACUGAGGAACGCAGCACGCCUUUAUGGCCGGGAUUCGUCCACGUACGUGCUUAGGAUGUUGACAUAAGG
rnacentral:rRNA from 1 species